rnacentral:lncRNA from 1 species
GGUUGCAUUCAAUUUCAAUACUAAGGAUGUGGUAACAACUAAAAACCUUCUACAGCGUGGAUCCAAACCCUUUUGAUACACUUCUCCCUCAAAGUCAGACAUUGGUCCUCUUCACCGCUCUUCAACUCCUCUUGCCCCCAGUGUGAUAUUUCCUUCCAGCUAAAAUUACUGCCUUCCUUUUUCUGUGGACCAUUCCAUGAAAGAAACAUUUGAAGAACUGAG